rnacentral:rRNA from 1 species
GACGAACGCUGGCGGCGUGGAUUAGGCAUGCAAGUCGAACGGUAGGAUACCUUCGGGUAUCUGAGAGUGGCGAACGGGUGAGUAACACGUAGGUGAUCUACCCUCAAGAUUGGGACAACCCAGGGAAACUUGGGCUAAUACCGGAUGAAAGCAGCAGUGAUGUUGUUUGAAAGGUGGCGUAAGCUGCCGUUUGGGGAUGAGCCUGCGCUCUAUUAGUUAGUUGGCGGGGUAAAGGCCCACCAAGGCGAUGAUAGAUAGGCGGCCUUAACGGGUGGUCGCCCACACUGGGAUUGAGAUACGGCCCAGACUCCUACGGGAGGCAGCAGUCGAGAAUAGUCUACAAUGGCCGAAAGGCUGAUAGUGCGACGCCGCGUGAACGAGAAGCCUCGGUGUAAGUCUUUAUAUGUGAGCAGUGCUUCUAUGUGAACAGCAUGGGAGAGAGAUAUUAGCAUAUGAAUAAGCAACGGCUAACUCCGUGCCAGC